GCCCCCAAGAAAGCAAGUCAACAUUUGUCGCUUUCUCAUCUCGCCAGUUUCUGAAAUCACAGCUAUCAGUCGGAAAGGGCGAUGAGUUCACACCAGAGACGGCCUGUCCAUCAGCUCUCAUCCUGUCCAGACUCUUCUGAAGCCUGGGUGAGGCUGAAAGUGAGGAAAAAGUGAAGACUGGCAGAAGAAGACGGAGCACGAACAGGAGUGCAGCUGAAGCCGCUGAACUUCCUCCUCUUCUUCCUCAGUGCGCCUCCUCAUCUGUCUGCUGCUCCGAACGGCCCCUGCAGCUAAUCCUAAAUCAGUCUUCCUGACGUGUAAUUAGACCGAAGACCUCAACUCUGGCCACUGGUCUGUCAAACUGUCACCCUUUCUGAUGAAAGUGCUUCAUUUUGUUGCUUUCUGAGGCUCGAUUGUGAAGUUGUGAAGAGAUGUCGUGCAUGCUACAUGGAUACUUUGUUAUGGAAAUGUAACUUUGUUGGCUCAUUACGUUGUCAUUUUGUUACACCUGAUACUCAUUUUGAAAAAAGAGACCAAGUUAAAUUAUGUUGUAUUAAUGAGAAUGAAACAAAAUUUUAGCAUCAAUAGCACUAUAUAUUUGUUUUCAAAUAUAUAAAAUGAAUAAUUUUACAUGAACUCCAUAGAUUUUUAGAAAGUAUCUUUAUACUUUCUUACAAAUUUAGGUUUGAAUCCCACAAAUUAUGUUGUAUUUGUGCUUGUCUCAUCAUUAGGCGGUCCUAAAGCCAGAAAAGCUUUGAAAAUAACAACAAAACCUCAAUUUAAUAGAAAUUUUAAAAAUCAUAAGCUGCAUUUUAAAGAGUCACUGUUCAUUGUAUCAUUUCCAGUUUAUGUUUAAACAGUGAAAAGCAUCUAUUUCAGAUUUUAGAUCACACAUUUCAGCUGACUGAUAAGAAGCAUUCGCAUUAGAGGCUAACAUCUAGCUUGUCGUGGAUUCUGCUUCUUUUUUAUCUGUCACCAUUUCUUUUCUCUCACAAACAACUGAAAGCUAGUUUUGUCCGACAGCACAAGACAUCUUGGUUAGCUAACUCUGUCAACACAUUUGGGCUACGUUAGAGCCACUUCCUCUUAUACUUCAAAAUAAGACGGAUUGUCCAAAUUCGGGUGUUUAAUCUGUUGAAGAACCGCGCCAGGCCAAAGACCAAAUGUGAACGGUUGUAAAAAAUUGGACGUCACCUAGCAACUACGACACUGCUAAACACAAGCUGGUUAAAACUGAGCUCCCUUUACUUAUUUAAUCCUUUUUAAUUAAUUUACUUCGUUAUUUAUUUGAAUUUUAUCAAAACAUGUAUAUUUGUGCACAGCUGUAGAUCUCAAUCAUAGAUACAGCAUACUGCUACGCUUAAAAAACUCACCUUCAUAUUCUGUACUCGUGAUUUUUUUACACUUUUUCUACCAGACAAAGUCGCAUGUUGACACCAACUGGAUUCAGCUGUUAGCAGGACAUACUUCACCGCGCUCAAAGUGUUGGUACCACUUUAAGGUUGCUAGCGCUAACACUCCUAGUAAGACACCAUCCCAUCAAUUAGGUUGCAAAUGAAGGUUUCUGGUUGUGCUGCCUGCAAAAAGGUAAUUUGGGUUGCAUUUUCAAUUAUGCAAAAAAGACAAGACUCAAGCAAUAUCUCAAAUACUUCCCUCCCAAGAAUGUUGACGUGAAGACGCCUGAGUUCUUGAGAAAAGCCAGAAUCGUGUCCGCUAAGUCGAACAUGCGUACAUCAUUGACAAACAGGCUGAAGAGCUGUGUGGAUUCACAUCCAGGGUUUUUAAUCGCUGCGCGGACUAUAAAAACGAUGCGUGAAAACACACUUCGCCUGCCCCAUUCACCGGGAAGUUGUGCCGUGCGUCUCGCUUUCAAACCUGCCUCCACCUGAGGAACACACAUUGCCGGAGCUGUCGAGAUCAGAUAAGAGAACACAGAUCUGCUUCGCAGUCUUUCUUGCCAAGCAAAAAACACAGCCAGGCAGGAUCGUAGGGUUUCCAGUGAAAUCUCCUGGAGACUCUGCUACACAAAGAGUUGAGAGAUGUUCACACACCGCUUUUUUGUACGUACACACUUUGAAAAUUUUAAAAGUAUAUAUUUUAUUUUUUUAUUAUUUUUUUUUAAAGCAAAAAGAAAAAUGCAUAUGGACAAAAAAUCCUAGCAUACUGAUCAAGUUAUUUUCCCUUUUUAAAAAAAAUAAGGCAAGAUUGUGGGCUGGCCACUUCAGCUCUGAAUGAAAACCCAGCUAAACUGUCCUCCAGUUUGAACUACACAAACUCUCACACACUUUAUAUGGGGAAAAAAAAGCAUUAUUUUUAUUAUGUGAAAAACUGUAGCAUUUAUGUUUUCGUAUGAAAGUAGUGCACACCACUGUUUCACAUGAUCAGAGAUCACAUGCAAAUGCUUAGAGGUGUCUUUCCGCUACAGGAAGCUUUUCUAGAACUGGGCUAGUUUUUUUGGGGGGCUCAUUAUCACACUCUCAUAUUUGCAAUACAUUUAACAAGGUAGAAAAUAGAAACAGAGGUAGUGUUUUAUUUAUUUACCAGGAACUUGUGGAUAAAGAGUUGUUUAAGAGUCCUAAGCAAGUCCAAUUGAUUGAUUUUUUUUUUCAACGUUUAAAUUCAGUAUCAAUUUAAACUAAAGAGCAGCUCAUGUAUUCUGUCAACUUUGAUGUUUUAAAAUCUAAUAUAGUUAAUGUCUGCUUAUAUUCUCGUCUGGGAAAGAUGGGAUAAAUCCUUCCAAUCAUAUCAAAAUCAAAUCAAAUCAAACUUUAUUUGUGUAGCACAUUUCAGCAGCAAGUUAUUUCAAAGUGCUUUACAUCAAAUCAAACACAAAAACACAAUGCAACAUAGAAUCAACAAUCACAACAACAUCAAGUCAGAUUCCGUCAAUAAAUUUGUAAUUGAUUACGUUUCAAAUCCAACUCUAAACAGGUGGGUUUUUAGUUGAGAUUUAAAGGAAGUCAGUGUUUCAGCUGUUUUACAGUUUUCUGGAAGUUUGUUCCAGAUUUUUAGUGCAUAGAUGCUAAAUGCCGCUUCUCCUCGUUUGGUUCUGGUUCUGGGGAUGCAGAGCAGAACCAGAACCAGAAGACCUGAGAGGUUCUGGAAGGUUCAUACAGCAGCAGAUCUUUAAUGUAUUGUGGUGCUAAACCAUUCAGUGAUUUAUAAACUAACAGUAUUUUAAAGUCUAUUCUUUGAGCGACAGGAAAACAAAGCUGUUUUCUCUGACUUUGAUGUGGUUUCACAGUUGCCGUGUUUCCAUUAUAAAUGUGCGCAAAACUUUGUCAAUAUUUUGCUAAUGUUGAAAAAACACUAUUUUGCAUUUUCGGUGUUUCCAUUAAGUGAAAAAAAAAAAAUUCACCCAUGAAUAACUUUGUUCACGUGAUAAGUCAUUAAAAAACACGCCGCAUCAUCAUCCUCAAACUACUUCCUGUUGUCUUCUUCUUUAUGGUUUUCGCCAGCGGCAAGAUCCGGUCAUUGAAUAUGUGACUUUUGCGAAAAAAAGAGUUUCUGGGCAGUUUUGCAAAAAUAAUCCAAUUUUGAUACGGCCAUAAUAACCACCUCAUCCUAUCGCCAAAUCUUUUUAGCACAAGACAAAAGUUUUUCUUUUUUUUUCUUUUUUUUUUUAAAAAUUGCUGUGUUUUUAUUAAGCAAAUCCAUUUUCAAAAUAUCAACCUGCACAAUUAUGCGGUCAGUGAAAACGCGGCUAUUGUAGAUGUCUGUUGCUGGGAGACUGAGCCCAGUCAAAAAGCACAUCAGUGGAGUCUCUUUAAAAAAUUGCUCCGGCUACACCUUAUCCAUGGAGUUUGUGAUGACUCUAUAACUUCUGGAUUUGGAGUUAAUGAGACGGAGUCAUCAGUUACAGUUCUGUUUGGUAGAAAAUCAUGCUUUUCAAGUCCAUGAUGUAAGCGUCUCUGUCACUCUCAGUGUCUGAGUAAGACCUUGGCUGACACAGCUGCAGAGGGAGGGUGUGUGUGUGUGUGUGUGUGUGUGUGUGUGUGUGUGUGUGUGUGUGGGUGUGUGUGCGGGGGGGGGGAGUUACCGCUCAGCUUCUGCUGCCGCAAUGGCCCUAUUCCACAGUGGCAGUGAUCACAAAAAAAGGCCAGAGCAAAUUAAAGUUCUGGGGGGAAACGUUUCAGGUCUCACAGUCGAAAGGAGUCGUAAAAUCCAGUUUAGAACUUUGAAACGUCUUUCUAGUAAAAACACUAAAGAAACAAAAUAAUAAACAUUUUAUAGUAACAGCGUCUGAAUGCCAACUGCCCUUUCGUUUAAGUUUAAAAAGUAGUGCGUUUCUAAAAUAAUGUGCACUAAAUAAUCACCCCUUUUGUUCUGUCUCUGCUGCUGCUGUAAAAACUUCCUCUUACAACCAACCAUCCACAUCUGGGAACAUCUGCAUUGCCAGAUCAUUCCUGCAUUGCUUUGGGUGUGGAGUGCUGUAGACGGUAUCUUCAUCCACUCUCUUUAUGCCAUGAGGGUGAGCACAUGCCCAAACAAAUGCCACUUUUCCAACCAUUUCUACCACACAAAUACAAGUAAGAUGGGAAUAAACAUUGUUUAAUAAUAUUAACAGUCCUGUUUUACUUAUCUGACCUACACCGAUGUGCUAAAACGGGCUUACAUAGGCAUAUACUGAUGUUAACGAAGCGAUGUCAUCUGUCCCAAUAUACCACAAUAAAGGACGACAAACUGCUGGGAAUGAAAGAUGGCAAAAAUGUAUUAAAAUUUAACAUUUUCAUUAACUUCAAAUAAGAAUUUUGACUAUUUUUGCUUAAUUUAGAGUUAGGGUUAGUUAUUUCUUAUGAAAUAUACAAGAUUAGGAUCCCCUCAUCCCCAAUCAGUUGUGCAUAUUUAAAUUUCCUCGCAGGAAACUACGACAGGAAAAUGUCUUUAAAUCAACAGCUGUCAAGGCAGUAAUGAAACAUCUCUCUUACAGCACAAAGCAGAUGACUCAACUUCUGACCAAAAAGUGUCGAGUAAGUAACAACCAAAGCCACAUUUGUCCAAAAUUGAAAAGAGGUCAAAAGGACAAAAAUGUCACAUCCAAACUCAAAAAGAGAAGGCAACUUUUAAAGACAGUUUCGUUUGAGAAGUCUGAGAAGAAUAGUUAGGAUUUUCUCUGUGGCAACCAAUUCCGUCUUCCUAAAAUGCUUCAAUUUGAUCCGUCUAUUAACGUCUUAUAUUUAGGAUUUUAAGUCCAAAGACUUCUGAAAACCUCUUCAACCACAGCAGACUAGUUUCUCUAGUAUAAUUCCAGUUAAUGCAAUGCUGCAAACUGGAUUUUUAUUGCAAAAAAAAUAAAAUAAAAUGAAAAAAAUAGGGUCAAAUGUGAUUUAAAAACAUCAUAUUUCAUUUGUAUCUGCUGAUUACAUGUUUUACUGGGUGUAAAAUUUACUGGAUAUGUCUUGGCAAUAAAGAGCAACAUUCCCUAAGUGCAAAAAUGCAACAUCUGACGUACUCAUGAGCCUGGAAAGUCAUCUUUACGUCAUGAAAACAUAGUUUUAGUCCCUGCAGAAGAAUUGUUGAGGGAAUUUGAGAGAGGAAGUGCAAAACACCAAAGUUUACAAAGAGUAAAACUAAUUUAUAGCUGACCAUUAGCAGACCCUAAAGAAAUACUCAAGAAGUUGCGUGUAAGCUCCACAUCUGCCCAGGAGUUUAGAGCCAAUAAGCAGAAGAAGAAGAAGAAAAACAGAAACUGCACGAAAAACUAGGGCUGCUAGAAAAAGGAUAACAAGCAUUGUUAGAACUCGAGAGUUUUUCAGGCAGUCACAUAACUCAUUUUCUUCAACCUUGGGUGGGAGCUCAUGUGUCUUGUUAUGAUGGACAGCUGUGUAAAGAGACGGAGAUCCCAUCUGGGUCACGUCUUAUCAGGCCAACUUAUGCACACCGAUGAAAUCAUAGCGGCUUGUCAAACCCACCGAGUAAAAAAAAAAUAAAAAAUAAAAAAAGACAACCAUAAACCAAUAAACGGAGCAAAACAAUGCAGCAUCAGAACGAGACGGGAACAGAUGCAUGUCAAGGACUGCAGAGAAGGCAGCGCGGAUAAUGAGAGGGAGGGCAGCAAGGCGUAGAUAAGUGGUAAAUAGAGAUGUAGAGUCGGCAGGAGAUGGAUGGGGAUAAUAGGAGCGGACUGAGAGGGAGAAAGAAACGGAGAUGCUGCAGAUGGGAAAUGUAGGUCGUGAUCCACGCGCCACAGAGCUAACUCACGUAGCAAGGCCCUGACUUCUGAGGUGUUUGGAAAAUUGAUCAGUAGCUUCUAAUAAGAAGUCACCUGUGCAAACAUGUUUGUUUUUCCUGGUUGUCAGCUGUGGCUUACUGUUUUUAUUAUUCCUAUAAAAAUAAAAGACUUAAAGUAGAGACAUGCUGGUGCAUAUUUUGCUGAUUUCGAAUUGUUGGGAAGUUGGCUAAACCAACUUUAAAAGUCGGCGACUUUUUCUGUGACGAGCAAUUUCAGCUUAACUGAAUUCAUAGUGUUUGUGUUGGGAAAAAAUUGGGAACAAAAAGAGUAAGAGCAAGAACUGUGCUCACUUCAGCCUAUUUUCCCAAAGUCUUGCUCUCUCUCACUCUCUCACAGCCAGAAUGAAGAGGAGAAAUCAGACAAUAUGUUUGUGCAGAUUUAAUCAAAGCAGACCAACGGACACCAUCUUUUGUUACAGGCUUGCUUUCAGUUGUUUCUUUGGGGUUGUUUGUUUGUUUAAGUCCAGCUGCAAUGUAAAGAACAAAUGAGUAUGUUUAACAUAGGUGUGUUUGUAAAAGGGUGGGUGUCUGGGUGUAGCAAAUGACAGGUUGCCUCUUUUUCCUUCUUAAAUGAAUUUUUUAGUUAGGGAAGCCGAGAAACGUCCCUCUGAACUAUCAGCUGUUGCCAAACUGAAACAGGGAUUUCUUAUGACGGAGUGAAGAGAUACAACACUCGCAAAGUCAGAAGAGCCAAGAAGGACGACACACUGAAUAGCCUGUGUUUGCAUUAGCUAAAUGCACUUCAAGAAUCAUUUUGAGACUGAUUAAAAUAAAUUCUGCAGGUCUGCUUUAGGUUGUUCUCUCACCUCCUGAAAGUCGGUUUAAAAAAAAAAAAAAGAAAACUUAUUAUACCAUCCUGUUGGUAAAUAAGGAGCAUUCCUCAACCUGCCUGUUUGCAAUAAAGCUUAUCGGCAUGGCCUGAUGUGCAGCUGUGAUCUUUCAGGAGAGCAGGGACUGGAUCCGCAUAUGGCAGUACCUUCACUGAUGGCCUGGUAAAAGGUAGCAGGCUGGAGCUAAUCACCAAAAUAAAUGGGAAAAUGCCAUGUUACAGUUAAGAUUUUCCUAUUGAUUACUUUACAAAGGUAUGAAAAAAAAAAUAUUUGAUUAAAAUGUAUGAAAUGGAUCAAUGAAACAUCUGUCACUUGCCAAUAAUAAAUAAUAAACCUUCUAGCUCAAUGAAAAUCCCUUUAAAGUCCAAACUGCCAGGAGUAUGAAUAACUUCAGGCUAAAUUGUGGAAAAUGUGGAAGCAAGAAACUGUAAAAAAAUAUUUUUACUUGGAGUAGCCAGUUCUGCAAAGGCAACUUUCAGGGUGUUUUUGUGGGGUUUUUGGUUUUUUUUUUUUUUACUGAACCUGGAAUACUGAAAUGUAUUCACCUUUAGUUCAAACCUUAAACUAUUUUCUAUACUUAACAUAGAUGUUUUUGAGGCACAUCAGAGAUUGUGAUUUGUGAAACUGCUCUCCUCCAUUUUUGAAAAAUAAAAACGUCUCUAAAAAUACUUGCCCUGUUCCCACAUCUCAUACUAUAGAUGUGUUACAGCCUCAAUGCCAAAUGAAACCGUUGUUCAACUGCUUACACUACAUCUGCCAAAGCCUCUAAAACCGGCAGCCUUAUUAUUUAGACAAAAAGAAGACUUUGUCUGAUUUAACACCGACGCUUUACUCGCAGUCCCCGGCUUAUUCUUGAUUCCUUUUGUUUUGCUUAGCUGUUCGUGUGAAAGUUAAAUUCAGUUAAAAUGCAAUACUUCCGUAGCACUAUGCAUAUCAGCUUUUUGUUUCAACGCCGUUGAAAGAAAAUACUUCCCAAUCCUACAAGUAUGAAACUGCAGCAUAAUCAGCAUAAAGCUCUCUGGGACAGUUUUUGACAUUUUGACCUUAACAUAAAAACACUUUUCAGAACAGGAGCACAUCCACUGCAGUGGAAUAUCAGAACGAGAAAAUAAUGAAAACCAUACAAUUAUGAGAGUAGUUGUAAAAUCAAGAGAAUACGUUUGUAAAAAAAAUAAUUUUUAAUAAAGUAAUAAUACUACAACAAUCAAGUCGAAAUAAUGUGAGAAUAAAGUCGUAAUAAUAUAAGAACGUAUUAUAACUUUAUCACAAUACUUAUGACAAGCAUAUUAUUUCAAAUUUAUUAGGACUUUAUUCAAGUUUAUUCUUCUAAUAUUAUGAGUUUAUUCUCCGAAUUUUGCGACUUCACUCUAUAAAUGUUUUUAUUUUCUAAGCAUUGCCCUAAUACAUCCAUCCACAGUGACACGUAUCCUUCAAAAACAAUCAAAUCAAAUCUACUUCAUUAACUCACGUUUAAACCUAUUUGUUUCUAAGAGCGUCAGUGGCAGCGUCUUGACCUCUGAAAGUUGAUGAUUUGCUUUCCAAAAUUAAAUCCAUUUUCCCUCCUUCAACUUCAUUAUACUGUCAGAGCUGCGAGGUGAAGGACUUCAGACAGGCUUCCAGGGCGGGAAGCUUGUAUGAAUCUAUCACAGCGUCAACACAGACAUACGCGAGAUAAACAACACAUGGCCAGGCUCAUUUUUAGGAUCUCCUCUAUCGAUUACCUUUUAUUUUUCUUAAAACACGGCGUUUACGAGGCAGGUAUUCCUCCGGUCACCACAUGACCAGUUCAGCUGCAGGUUGGGAGGUCUAUGUCCUGAGUCAUUGCUUCCAUCCACUGCAUUUCUAUGCCCACGUAAGUCAUUUCAGGGUCACGAGUAAAAGCCUGGGUCCACCCUUGAAAGAUCACCAGACAUCAUACAGACAGGAGAGACGAGAAGUUUAAGUACACAACUGAAAUCUAAGGGUAAUUUGGAGUCUA